UCUGAGCCGCUGUCCCUGCAGU
rnacentral:misc_RNA from 1 species